ACCUAAUGAUGUGGACAUUUAUGAAGGAGGUCCUAAAAUCGCUCCCAGGUCUCAAAGAAAAGUUCCCCAUCCAUGUGUGAAAAACUUGUGAUAGUUCUCUAAAGCU